AUUUUGUUUAUGUUUUCUCACUUUUGCAAAGUCACUGUGCAUUUGCAAUAUGGUUCAAUGGGCAGGUACCAUCACGAAUUUGUCAUGCUAUAAAAAUCCUGCAGGAAUGUGAAAUUGACUGGUCUGAUGAACACAGGAUGGCCGAGCAGUGAUAGUUGUACAUUUCCAUCACUUGUUGUGUUGAUUUCAUCAUGUCCAUUAGGUGAUGUUUUUUCACUAUAGAAUCAUAUUGCAAAUGCACGUGCAUUGUUGUGCAACUGGUAACCCAAAAAUAAAAAUAUGGUUGUAAAUGCAUUUACCGGUCAUUCUGAUAUUAAUGCUCGCUAUGGGAACACAGGAUGGCCGGGCAGUGAUAGUUGUACAUUUCCAUCACUCGUUGUGUUGAUUUCAUCAUGUCCAUUAGGUGAUGUUUUUACACUAUAGAAUCAUAUUGCAAGUGCGCGCGCAUUUGCAAUAUGUUUCAAUGUGCAUUUACCAUAUGAAA